UCACCUUCCAAACAUCCGCCCAAGUACACUUAUACCACCCUGCUCCCUCCGUUUCAUGCUUCUUAUCAUCCGCAAGCCAAACUCCCAGCUACCUCCGUCACAAAACCUCCAUCCAGUCAACUUCCUUCGAUCCACCACAUACUCCCUCCGACCAUCCCUACAUCUGAUUUGACAACCUCUCUCGAUUUCAUCCAGGUUCAUCAUCUUCAAAUCAGAAAAUCCGGAAGAGACGCUUCCUACCAUCUUAUCAUAAUACAACCCUUGUAAAGUACCCAUGAACAUAUCAACCAAUUCUUUCUCCAAGAGUGGUGGUUGUACGCGGUUUGCCAUUUUUCUCCAUCUUUGUGCAUAUUCUUUGAAGGACUCAUAUUUCUUCUGAGACAAGUUUUGGAGUUGCAUACGGUUAGGCGUCAUGUCCAAAUUGUACUUGUACUGUCUCAGGAAAACGUUGGCAAGAUCUACCCACGUCAAGAUAUGAACCCAUUCCAAUUGUAUAUACCAAUCUAGGGAUGCCCCACUCAAAUUGUCUUGGAAACAAUGGAUCAUCAGUUUCUGAUCUUGAGCGUGGGCAUGUAUCUUUUUGCAAUACAUGCGUAGAUGGUCCCUCGGACAUGUGAGCCCCUUAUAUUUUCCAAAGUCAGGUACUUUAAAUUUUGGCGGGAUUACCACAUCUGGAACUAGACCCAU